rnacentral:rRNA from 1 species
UAGGGAAUCUUCGGCAAUGGACGAAAGUCUGACCGAGCAACGCCGCGGGAGUGAAGAAGGUUUUCGGAUCGUAAAACUCUGUUGUUAGAGAAGAACAAGGACGUUAGUAACUGAACGUCCCCUGACGGUAUCUAACCAGAAAGCCACGGCUAACUACGUGCCAGCAGCCGCGGUAAUACGUAGGUGGCAAGCGUUGUCCGGAUUUCUUGGGCGUAAAGCGAGCGGAGGCGGUUUCUUAAGUCUGAUGUGAAAGCCCCCGGCUCAACCGGGGAGGGUCAUUGGAAACUGGGAGACUUGAGUGCAGAAGAGGGGAGUGGAAUUCCAGGUGUAGCGGUGAAAUGCGUAGAUAUAUGGAGGAACACCAGUGGCGAAGGCGGCUCUCUGGUCUGUAACUGCCGCUGGGGGUCGAAGGCGUGGGGAGCAAACAGG